CUGCUUUUUCCCAUGUAGUGUGGUAAAACCAUCUGAUUUUGCGGUAUAAGUAGAGUUUACACCAGAAGCAUGGAGGCUAACCUUUGCAUGGUUCCAGCGCUGAACAAAAUGUCUAGCAAUAUCCCUGCAAGGAGGGCCCCAUACGGCGCAAUGAACAUCAUGCCAUGGCAUCCGGGGCUAUAUACAAGAAAAUGGUGAACCAGGACCUUGAGGUGACAGACACUCAGAGUGGACAUCGAAGACAACUAUGUCUAAGAGUUUGGUAUCAAAAUGAUUUCCAAGGAAAGCCAGGCAUCCCGGUUUGAGAACAAGCCAAAC